AUCCCUCUCUAAUCUCUUUCUAAUCAAGGUUUUCUGUUUUUAUAUCAAAAAGUCAGCGCCGACGCAUAAAAACCACAACGAGACUAGUACCGGUACGUUUUGAGCCAUAGAAUAUAUUGAUAUCUCCUUAUAAGGGUGCUAAUAGUUUAUAGUUAUCGGCACAGCUGGGUCAGUUGUGAUAAGUCCUCCACUACCGAAUUAAAGGUAUGUCUAUAAACGUCUACACACUAGUGGUUAAGUGGUAAGCAUCGCACUCCAGAUAUAAGCACUCCACUAGGCAAUGAGCGACUUCACAAACAGUGCUGUCCGUUCUGCUGGUCUGCUUGCUGCGGAGGUGCAGGGUUUGUUAGUCAGCGUGACGGACAUUUUAUGAUGAGGAGUUCUCGUUAGGGAGAAGGACCUCGGACAUCGAUAUCGCGACGCGAAAGCGGUACGUAGCGAGCCAACGGUUCGACGAGCGGAACGAGCUCGACGAACCGCGCGCUCUCCCUGCGUAACGACCGGAAGUUCGUUCGGCGGUUGCUGUGGAUGCUGCAGGAGCGGAGCACCGUUUCUGCCGUGUUUCUAACAACGGCCACCACCCCGCAGUGGACGUCGUUCCUUUGGCCGGUACACUAGCUCGGACUGAAACCAAUGUGGGAAAACCUGCCGUUCUAUUCGGGAAGGGACGAAAGAGAGCUCGUAGACCUCAUGGAUUUAGAGUUGAGGUGGUUGGAUGAACCUGGUCUGCCAUGAAGAAACAAGGGUCUUAAGAACACAAGAGAUUCGUUGAACUCCGUAGAGCUAGAGAGUACCUGUGACAAGAGACCAUCUAACGGACGAGUCGAACGGUUGGAAAGUUUAAACCUCAUGGAGCUAGAGAGUAUAUGUGUCAAGAGACCAUCUAACGGACGAGUCGAACGUUUGGAAAGUUUAAACCUCAUGGAGCUAGAGAGUAUAUGUGUCAAGAGACCAUCUAACGGACGAGUCGAACGUUUGGAAAGUUUAAACCUCAUAGACCUAGAGAGUAAGUGUAGGGACCUGCCCAGAUUACCAAAGUAAAGAACAUUUUUGAACUCUGUAGAGCCAGAGUCUCGGUGUGGUAACAGACCAUCUGAUGGAGGAGUCAAAAAGUAGGAAAGUUUCAACCUCAUAGAGCUGGAGAAGCUUUGAUCGUACAGCCCAUAUGACGGUGGAGUCGAGCCUUUGGAAAGUUUGAACGCUGUGGAACUGGAGCCAAUGUACGUUCUAUAUGUGUAUAGUCUAUAGAGUACCAAUUGAGUAGAGGUAAAGGACCUUAUACAACUGUACUCAAUAUACUUAGACUCGUCGCGCCUAUACAAAGAGCACCGGUUGUGUUAGGGUAGAGACUUUCGGGAAUAAGAACAGUUGACGAGUGAAGGUUUACGUUUGGUCAGCGAAUGCGUACAUUUGGAGUGUUUUGAUCUCGUCGAACUAGAGAGGUCAUUAAUAAACCCGGUGGCUUAACUUUGUACAACCAAGACCUUGGAUUGUUCGUAGUUCCUUGAUUGUGAGCUAAGUUGGAUAGAAAUACCAGGUAAGGGACUACACGAUCCUCCAUACUAAAGAGAGGUCGCCGACCUUAAAUGGUUGUUGCCAUUAAGUCGGUGUUACUGUCACCUGAACUUUUUAGAUACACUAGAUCUCUCGGAUUUGGAGCUACCCUCAGAACGCAAACGCCUGGAUUGUCUGAAGCACUACUUUGACGGUGUUACAAGUAGGUUGUUUAACGCCAAGAACUCGAGUUUAGUGUUGUUAUACCGUCCUUACGACGGUCUAUCCCACCCCGUGAAGUGGUCGAACUUCAUGGAAGUGGAAAUAUUAUUGUCGUAAUGACCUCGAUAUGGUUGAUCCAAUCACUUAACAUGAUAAAACGUAAGUGAGCGAGAGCCAAACUUGGUUGAUUCACCGGUCUAUGGUUGUAACGGCUCUUCGGAGUCACUUCACCUGGACAGGUACUUGUCGAACAGUCCUGGAAACGGUAGUCUAAAACCUCGAGGUAUGGAAUGUCAUGAUUCAGAUAGGAGGUUAAUGUAGUGACCAAUGCAAGGAUCUAGAUAGACACUCAACGUUUUGGAUUAAAAGAACCUAAACAGGGUCUUAUCCAAACGCCCUCUUAAAGGGUCCACAAGAAGCUACGGUUUGAACCGUAAGGACGUGAAUUCAUUGUUAUCGAAGAGGCCCUCAAAAGGAGGUAACGAGGUUUUGACACGUUUGAACAAAAGGGAACUAGAACGUUACUUGCUCAAGCUACCUCGUGAUGGUCAUACCUAGCCUCUGGAUCACUUGAACGCCAAAGACGUCGAUUUGGUAUUUUACAAGAUACCCGUAUAAGGUCGAUUGUAGUGUUCAGAACAUGAUGAAGUUGAUAAGUCAAACCGCUCGUUAUUAUAUAGUCCUAGUUAAGGCAGCAGGAACAGAUUUAAUUAUCGAUACUGGGACUUUGUAGGCGGCUCUGAACUUAGUUACAACAAAUUUCCGUGAGUGCGCCACCUAUAAAACAGGCAACACUACUACUUCGUCGUUCUCGAAUUCAAGUCCCCACUACGUCAAUAAUUGUACCAUUCGUAACUAAACAGUGAGUUGGUGAACUGGCCACUUUAAGGUCUACUCUAUUGAAGAGACUUGCCUGACAACUCAAACUUAAAUAGUACCUUAGUGGACUCGGUGUUUUAGGGACACUUCUAACCCCUAUACUUUAGUGACCUUAGUGAGCUGAACAGUUCCUUGUUAUAGAGACCACUUUAGGGUUGUUCGGAGAGUCUAAACUGUAUAAAUUCGAGGAACCUGAACAGUAUGUUGUUAGAACGUCCUUCUUAAGGUUGUCCGGCAGUUGACCUGUGAGACAUACGUCUUCUAGGCAGUUACAUACUACCGUUGUCAGCGGAAACACCCGGAGUAGAAGUUUCCUUAACGAGUCCGUUGUCAGGUGACCUCGCAUCCUUAGUCGUCUCUUCACUUUUACGAAUACUGGGUCACUACAAGAAGAUGUAACCCGAUUGCAGGCCCAAACACCAGCCCGAGACCGAACACAAGACACGAGAUGACAAGUUUUCCCGCACCGCUGUACGGAUAAAAGCGGAGAAGCUGUUCGAUACAGUGUUCCACAUGCACAAACAACAACAAUAAACCCCGGCCUAUUUGUGGUUCCGCUGACGUUCAACUCACUACACGAUUAGCUCAUUACGGCCACCGUGAGAUAACGAGACGAGGUACCUAUAUUGCACUUCUUCAUAAAUCGUCGAACAUGUUCACACACAAAGACACAUAUAUGAACACUAUACUUGAAAAAAGAAGACCACGUAUAUUGACAAUAACCAAACAUGAGCAACCAGUACUACUUGGACCGUGCACUAAAACCAAAGGUCGAGUCAAAACAAAGUACAGCUACCAAACUACAAAACAUUAUGACUUGACGUGAUCGUCUCACAGGACAUGAUAAAACACGUUGAACUAUAUAACAUAAACACGC
rnacentral:rRNA from 1 species